UACGUAGGGUGCGAGCGUUAAUCGGAAUUACUGGGCGUAAAGCGUGCGCAGGCGGUUGUGCAAGACAGAUGUGAAAUCCCCGGGCUAACCUGGGAACUGCAUUUGUGACUGCACGGCUAGAGUGUGUCAGAGGGGGGUAGAAUUCCACGUGUAGCAGUGAAAUGCGUAGAUAUGUGGAGGAAUACCGAUGGCGAAGGCAGCCCCCUGGGAUAACACUGACGCUCAUGCACGAAAGCGUGGGGGAG
rnacentral:rRNA from 1 species